rnacentral:rRNA from 1 species
UAGGGAAUCUUCCACAAUGGACGAAAGUCUGAUGGAGCAACGCCGCGUGUGUGAUGAAGGGUUUCGGUUCGUAAAACACUGUUGUAAGAGAAGAAUGACAUUGAGAGUAACUGUUCAGUGUGUGACGGUAUCUUACCAGAAAGGAACGGCUAAAUACGUGCCAGCAGCCGCGGUAAUACGUAUGUUCCAAGCGUUAUCCGGAUUUAUUGGGCGUAAAGCGAGCGCAGACGGUUAUUUAAGUCCGAAGUGAAAGCCCACAGCUUAACUGUGGAAGUGCUUUGGAAACUGGAUAACUUGAGUGCAGUAGAGGAGAGUGGAACUCCAUGUGUAGCGGUGAAAUGCGUAGAUAUAUGGAAGAACACCAGUGGCGAAGGCGGCUCUCUGGACUGUAACUGACGUUGAGGCUCGAAAGUGUGGGGUAGCAAACAGGAUUAGAUACC